rnacentral:rRNA from 1 species
GACGAACGCUGGCGGCGUGCCUAACACAUGCAAGUCGAGCGAGGAAGAGGAGAUAGCUUGCUAACUCCUGUUUCUAGCGGCGGACGGGUGAGUAACGCGUGAGCAACCUGCCUUUAUCAGGGGGAUAACGCAUCGAAAGAUGUGCUAAUACCGCGUAAGACCACAGCCUCACAUGGGGCAGGGGUCAAAGGAGCAAUCCGGAUAAAGAUGGGCUCGCGUCCGAUUAGCUAGUUGGUGAGAUAACAGCCCACCAAGGCGACGAUCGGUAGCCGACCUGAGAGGGUGAUCGGCCACAUUGGAACUGAGAGACGGUCCAGACUCCUACGGGAGGCAGCAGUGGGGAAUAUUGGGCAAUGGGCGAAAGCCUGACCCAGCAACGCCGCGUGAGGGAAGAAGGGUUUCGGCUCGUAAACCUCUGUCCUAUGGGACGAAGGAAGUGACGGUACCAUAGGAGGAAGCCCCGGCUAACUACGUG